rnacentral:rRNA from 1 species
UACCAGCACCCCGAGUGGUCGGGACGUUUAUUGGGCCUAAAGCAUCCGUAACCGGUUCUACAAGUCUUCCGUUAAAUCCACCUGCUUAACAGAUGGGCUGCGGAAGAUACUAUGGAGCUAGGAGGCGGGAGAGGCAAGCGGUACUCGAUGGGUAGGGGUAAAAUCCGUUGAUCCAUUGAAGACCACCAGUGGCGAAGGCGGCUUGCCAGAACGCGCUCGACGGUGAGGGAUGAAAGCUGGGGGAGCAAACCGG